rnacentral:lncRNA from 10 species
UCAGAAGCCCUGGAAAGUCAGAGCACAAUUAAGGACAUUCGCUCUAAGAAGACACUCUCACGGUUAUCGCUGGAACCCAGGGUCCCUCCAAUUGGAAAUGUGAAGUCAAAGGAGGAAAUUGCUCUUAGGCUGAGUCACAAGACUCGUGUCCUUUUCUCCUGAGGUAGAUAAGAGACACACACACAGGCAGAUACACACCUCAUGCCUCCAGGAGCCGCAGAGGCAGAGAAUGCAAAAAAUGUGGUGGUGCCAGCCGCAGCGAGGUCUGGAAAUGCCUUCUUAAUUGAGCCUUUCUGGGAGCUGCACAGGCUGGCUGGAGGAGGGACAGGAAUGGAGAGGAAAGCACCAGAGAGGCCUGGCUCUGGGGAAGUUGGAGGUUUUACUCCCUGGCAUCAUCUGCAGUCGAGAGUGAUCUGGCAGAUACUAUCUCUCCCAACCAACUUGGCAAGGCUCUGGUCCUGUGUGAGGAGGCAAGGAGUUCUCUUGGAUGAGGAAACAACUCCAAAGGGAACUCGCCCCAGGUUGAACAUUGUGUAAACGUCAAAGCCAGGAUCCUACUCCCGUUUCUUCUGACUCUAAAUCUUGGAAUUUUCUCAGCAAACCAGAAGUCUUACCAUGGCCCUGUCUCAGGGCACUCAGCCCCAAAGUGGUGGAGCAAGAGCACUCCAAUCGGCACCACAUGCUGAGCAAUUGAGCUAGCAUGCUGAUAGAGGCAGGGACGACACAGGCCUUGUCAUCGAUAACAGGAUGAAUACUGAGGGCCAUCAGCCCAUGAGUUCUUUGCUCGUCUAUCCUAGAAAAAGGAAUGUUUUCAAAUACCUCCACUAUCAAUCACCAAGAAAAAAACAUUUGUUAUUCAUUGUUUUUUGUGUCCUCUGAUGUAACGUUUUAUCCAGGAGUUCAGGGACCUCAGUUUCUUUAUUUGUAAAAUGGGCAUAGGUGUGUGUGUGGCGGGGUGUGGUGGGGGGCGGUAACCAUGGAGGCAUUGGACCAGUUGUUCAAAAGGGACCUUCUCAGUUCUAGGUAUUUGUUUGGUUUGGUUUGGUUUUGAGACGGAGUCUUGCUUUUGUCGCCCAGACUGGAGUGCAAUGGCAUGAUCUCGGCUCACUGUAACCUCCGCCUCCCGGGGUCAAGUGAUUCUCCUGCCUCAGCCUCCCGAGUAGCUGGGAUUACAGGCGCCUGCCACCACGCCCGGCUAAUUUUUGUAUUUUUAGUAGAGAUGGGGUUUUGCCAUGUUAGCCAGGCUGGUCUUGAACUCCUGACCUCGUGAUCCACCACCUCAGCCUCCCAAAGUGCUGGGAUUACAGGCCUAAGCCACUGCGCCCAGCCCCUUCUAGGUUCUGAAAGAGGGAAAAAAAAUGUAACGUGGUUCCAAAAUUGACAGUGACCCAGGUGUAGUGAUGAAGGAAUAGAUUCAUGCAUGUGCAGUUGCCAAAGACAGAGAACCUCCAAGCGGCCCUGGGGCUGUGCUUGUCUGCCCAGUGAGGGGAUGCAUGAGGAGACUGCAGAGACCGCUCCUAACAGGGCUGCUGUGUGAUCCCACCAAAACAUUGCAAAGAACUUGCUACAAAGUUUGGGGGAAUUGCUGUCCAUAGUUUCAAAUAAGAUGUUGCAGAAUGACAACAUCAGGGUGGCAAGAUAUGUCCAAAAGAAUACUGAAGCAAGACAGAAGACGGCUGGAGGUUAGACUUAUGAACUGGGUAGGGCUGGUGAUGGUGAGGAGGAGAGAGAGGGUCAGCUCAUUCAGAAACACCCAAGGGAAGAGCACCAGGAAUCCAAAAGGGGUUGCCCUGUAGGGCACCUGCCCAGGGAUGUAUGGACAAAAGAUCUGGCUUCAAGCCAGCCUCACCACUUACUAGCUGUAUAACUCUGAACAAUUAAUAGCACCUGCCUCAGACUCAGUUUCCUCAGUGGGGAAAUGGGAAGAAUACUCCCUACCUUACAGAGCUGCUGAGAGAGUUAAAUUACAUGGAAUAUGUGGAAAUGCUUAACAGAGUCCAUUCAUACAUUCAGCAAGCAUGUGUUGCGUGUCUGCUGUUUGCCUGGAAAAUAGUAAGUACUCUAUCACUACAUUAAAAAUAUAAAGUCGGAUAGAAAAUGCAUUCUUUGAAGUCUAGAAUAAUCCUUAGGUAUUAGGGAAGUUCGUAAAUGAAACCAUCGAAAAGAUAGGUGAGUUGUUUGUUAUUCAUCAUUUUGGGUAUUUGUUGGUGGAGAGAGCUGAGCUAUUCAGUGAAUUCCGGUACUGGCAAGAUUAAAUGGAGGGGAAGGACGGAAAAAAGCCGUCUCCUCCAACAGAGAAGAAAGACAAAGGCCUGAGCUUUCACAGCCUGAGCUUGGGCUAAUUAAACCAGUGUUGUAACAUUUUUCUUUUCUUUUCUCUUUUCUUUUAUAUACAGGGGUUUUGGGGCUCUAUCAUCUUUGCCACAACACUGGACACAGAAGGCUUCUCUAACUGUGUUUUAGCCCAUUUGUUCCUCAUUUGGGAUCCUUAGAAUUUUUAGGGGUCCAUGAGGAUUGGAGUAGGGAUUUGUGACAUACUUUCAAAAUUUCAAACAUCAUACAAGAAACCAUGUGUCCUUACAAUGAGGUUUUAUUUGGCUAGAAGAUUAACCAGUCAUGUUGAUCAGAGGCUCUGGUGUAUGCUUUGAUGAAUAAAAAAGAGAAAUAAAAUAAAGGCUGC